UUCGUUAUUGGAAGACCUUAGUCCGUUAAUAAAGGCAUC
rnacentral:pre_miRNA from 1 species